rnacentral:rRNA from 1 species
AAUGAACGUUGGCGGCAUGGAUUAGGCAUGCAAGUCGAGCGAGAGGUGUAGCAAUACACGGAAAGCGGCGGAAGGGAGAGUAAUACGUGGGAAUCUGCCCUUAGACCUGGGAUAGCAGCGGGAAACUGCUGGUAAUACCAGAUAAUGUCUAUGGACCAAAGGUGUGAUUCCGUUUAGGGAUGAGCCCACGUCCUAUUAGCUAGUUGGUUGGGUAAUGGCCUACCAAGGCGAUGAUGGGUAGCGGGUGUGAGAGCAUGACCCGCCUCACUGGGACUGAGACACUGACCCGACACCUACGGGCGGCUGCAGUCGAGAAUCUUCGGCGAUGGGCGCAAGCCUGACCGAGCGAUGCCGCGUGCGGGAUGAAUGCCUUCGGGUUGUAAACCGCUGUCGAGGGGGAGCAACUUCCAUAGAGUUAUCUUUAUGGAUUGAGUGAUCCCUGGAGGAAGGACGGGCUAAGUUCGUGCCAGCAGCCGCGGUAAUAC